AGCGGUUUCCUGUUCUACUGGAGGGAGUCAUCCUGCUCUGGCGCGGUUUCGCGGUCUUCGGCACCAUCCCCCCAAAAUCUUCAGACAUCUGCACCUUCCCGCACUGCAGGCGCUGUCUCUGUCUCUGUCCCGCGCCGUGGGUCGCCGCGCUCCGGCCCUGCGGCUGCCGAGCUUGCGGAGAGAUGGGACCUCGGCCUCGGACGGCUGAGCGGGCUCUGCGUCCGCCGGCGCCCCCUGCUCUGCUGCGGGGCCCUGACCCGCGCUGCCCGACGCGCCCUCCGUGUCCAGCGGCUGAGGCUGUGCCCUGGUGAGAGCUGCGGCUCCUGAGCGCCUUGAAGGGGGCUCGGUGGCUUCCUGCUGCCCGCAGAGGGGGUGGUCCUGGGGCUCAGGUGACUUCUGAGAACUGUGUUCGAAGCCCUUGUGCAGGAGGAGGCCUGGUGUAGUAGGGGGGCUGGGUUUGGGGUCAGAAAGGCCUGAGCUCAGAUCCUGACUCCGCCCCUCGUUAGCCGGGCGACCUGGGGAGUGUCACGUGACUGCUGAUCCGUGUUCAUGAGAGGUGUCCUCAGGGAGAGCGUGGAUUGUGAAGUCCCAGAUGUGUCUGCAGUGCAGAGGCUUCGUGGGAGGCAUCGUCUUCAUAUCAGCCAGGUGCUAGACCCUGGGCCCUGCGAGGUGUUCCGUGGGAGGCAGAACCCUGUGAAGGUACCUUCAUCUGUAGACUCAGAAGAUGCUCCACGGUGCUUCUGACAGUCAUGUCUUGGCUCCCGGGUAACAGGUCAGCCUUACAUCCGGAGACUCUUGAAGGAAGUCCCAAGGCCAUGAGUCUGUGACCCUCGGGGUGCCUUGAGAUCUGGGUUUGCUGAUAUUUCUCCCCUAGAUUCUCUUGGUGGUGGUCUUGGACACCAGAUGGGGCAGAGAAUGGAGAUUGAGGUCCCCACAUGAAGCGUCAUCAGAGCUCCCCCUCAUUGUCUGCUCAGAGCAUCAUGGAACAAGUGUUCAUUCUGCACAAGAGAUCAGAGGGAAAGCGCUGGGACUGGGGGCUUGGGGUCCACUUCAGCUGGCUCUGAGUCUUGAUACAGCAGUACCCUUAGAGGGCCAUGGACAGGGAAGGCCAGCCCCGUGUCCCUCUGCCACGCAUGGAAUGACUUUAUUUUUUUUGAGGAAGAUUAGCCCUGAGCUAACUACUGCCAAUCCUCCUCUUUUUGCUGAGAAAGACUGGCCCUGAGCUAACAUCCAUGCCCAUCUUCCUCUACUUUAUACGUGGG